CCUGGGAUCAGCCUUCUCUACACACAUGGAGCCCCUGGGGAUAGGUCUCACCUUGCUGGUGAUGAUGCAGACCCAGGCCCAAGGCCCAAGAAGGCAUGAAGGGCUUCCUCAAGCCCUGUUGCCCAACAUACCUUUUCACAAGAUCUGUCUUCUGCCCAGCCUUGGGAAGGAGACAGUCACUAUGAACCCUGGCCAGGCAGGCCCAGUUCCCAUGGGUAGGAACAAGAAAUGGGAAGCGCAGCCCAAUGGCAACCCUGCACAGACUUCACAUUCCCCGGUGGCCCUCAAGACCGUCCAGGAGCCCGGCAUAUGAACACUGGGUCAACAGAGCCAGGACCUCCUCAGAUUCUGGGAAGGCUAGAAGACCGUCAGAGUUGGCUGACUGUGGAAGGCUCGGCUCUCAUCACGUCCCAACUAGACCCACAAUGUCCCUGCUCACUCAGCCCCAACACAAUAAAUGCCU